rnacentral:piRNA from 1 species
ACAAAAAAUUNGCCAGGUGUGGUGGCACAUGU